UACAGAGGUGACUAACGUUGUCCGGAAUUAUUGGGCGUAAAGGGCGCGUAGGUGGUCAGGUAAGUCAGGUGUGAAAGCUCUGGGCUUAACCCAGGAAUUGCAUCUGAUACUGCUUGGCUUGAGUACGGUAGAGGAGGGUGGAAUUCCCAGUGUAGCGGUGAAAUCCGUUGAUAUUAUGGGGAACACCAAAAGCGAAGGCAGCAUACUGGCGCACUCCUGACGCUGAGACACGAAAGCGUGGGUAGCGAAUGGG
rnacentral:rRNA from 1 species